GGGCCGGUAGCUCAGCCUGGAAGAGCGCCGCCCUUGCAAGGCCUUAGCUUCAACCGAGGUCGCAGGAGAGGCGGAGGUCCCGGGUUCAAGUCCCGGCCGGUCCA
rnacentral:tRNA from 1 species